UACGAAGGGUGCAAGCGUUACUCGGAAUUACUGGGCGUAAAGCGUGCGUAGGUGGUUUGUUAAGUCUGAUGUGAAAGCCCUGGGCUCAACCUGGGAACGGCAUUGGAAACUGGCUUACUAGAGUGCGGUAGAGGGGUGUGGAAUUCCCGGUGUAGCAGUGAAAUGCGUAGAUAUCGGGAGGAACACCAGUGGCGAAGGCGACUACCUGGCCUGUUCUUGACGCUGAGGCGCGAAAGCUAGGGGAGCAAACGGG
rnacentral:rRNA from 1 species